rnacentral:rRNA from 1 species
AGAACAAAUUCUAGUCUUAUCGGUGGAUCACUCGGCUCGUGGGUCGAUGAAGAACGCAGCCAACUGCGAUAAGUAGUGUGAACUGCAGAAACUUUGAACACAGAACAUUCGAAUGCACAUUGCACCAACUGAGUAACAUCGGAUGGAACGCCUGGUUCAGGGUCGUUA